UACAGAGGGUGCAAGCGUUGUUCGGAAUUACUGGGCGUAAAGCGCGUGUAGGUGGCGAUGUAAGUCGGGUGUGAAAUCCCUCAGCUUAACUGAGGAAGUGCACUCGAUACUGUGUCGCUUGAGUGUUGGAGGGGAUGGCGGAAUUCCCGGUGUAGAGGUGAAAUUCGUAGAUAUCAGGAGGAACACCUGUGGCGAAAGCGGCUCACUGGACCAUAACUGACGCUGAUGCACGAAAGCUAGGGGAGCAAACAGG
rnacentral:rRNA from 1 species